UACGUAGGGAGCAAGCGUUGUCCGGAAUUAUUGGGCGUAAAGGGCUCGUAGGCGGUUUGUCGCGUCGGGAGUGAAAACACCGGGCUUAACUCGGUGCUUGCUUUCGAUACGGGCAGACUAGAGGCAUGCAGGGGAGAACGGAAUUCCUGGUGUAGCGGUGAAAUGCGCAGAUAUCAGGAGGAACACCGGUGGCGAAGGCGGUUCUCUGGGCAUGUCCUGACGCUGAGGCGCGAAAGCGUGGGGAGCGAACAGG
rnacentral:rRNA from 1 species